AGAAAGAGAGAGAGAGAGAGAGAGAGAGAGAGAGAGAGAGAGAGAGAGAGAGAGAGAGAGAGAGAAGAUGAGCUUGGUUUGUUAUUUAGGAAGGGAAAAAACAGUGAAGGAUCUUUUUCGUGGGGAGAGAAACCUUAUAUAAAAUCCAAAGAUAGAAACCAAAAUGCAUGAUGGAGUGUUGCUGUUUUGAUUUGAUCCGGUUUGAACUCAAAGUUGCAGUGGUGUUUUUGUUUUUUUCCACGAGUUUUGUUGAACACUCUCUAUCUAAUCAGAGAAUUGAUCAGACUAGUUAUAGUGUACUGGUGGAACUAUGUAGUGACGACGUAGUUUUGUCAUAUGGUACGUAAUUAAUGUCGUCCCCACAACACAUUGGCCACCACUCACUCAGACUCAGCAGCAGGUACCACUCUCUUCCUACAAUUCGUACGUGCAGAGUUUUUUUCUGGUGAAAAAGAAAAUCCCUCAAAACCCUAACGAGCGAGCGAGAGAGCGAGGCAUGCAUGUUUCAGUUUCAUCAGAGCUACCUAUAUGUACAUAUUCUACUACAUAAAUAUAUGCUUUUUGUAUUUCA